GACCUCGCCGUCUCCAACCAGAUUCAUUUUUACUCGUUAUUUUAAGUGUGAGGCCUUUGCGUGUGGACAGCUGCUGCGGCGGCGGCGGCGGUAGCUCAUGCGAGGCGAGCGCUCUAACCCUAAAGGCCUAAACCCUAAGGCUAUCUGCUGCAGCCAUUCCUGCCGCUUGUUCCACUCGCGGCGGCCGGUGACCGCACCACCGAAACCCACAGCCCUUGGGACCAAAACGGCGGCGAUGACGAAGGGCGCCGCGGUUGGCGCCGGGCCGGUUCCCGAGCGGCGGCCGGCCGCGGAUUCGCGCCUCCACGGGGCCACCCCUCUCUCCGCCCCGCCGCGCCGCGCCGCGUCGGAUUGCGGGCCCUAGUGCGGGCGACGGUGCUGCGGUGGCGAGGGCUGGGGUUGGGGACCGUGGGGGCGGGGUCUCAGCGGCGGGUUCCGGUCGCGGGCACGGUGCCACGGUCGGACGACGCGGGAUCUGAGCCGCCAUUGAGGAAUUUUUUUUGGAGCAUUUGGUUCCGAAUGUUUCGUUUUGGUACGCGCUCUGCCUCCUCCUCUCCUGCUCGUCCUUCUCGUCCUCGCCGUCGUCGUCGUGCCUUUGAUUGCUAAAUUGCAAUUUUUCCUCCUCCGCUCCUCGUCUUUGCCCGAACCCUAGAUCGAAUUGAUGCUGUGCAGGCUCCGAUUCUCCGGAGCGGCCGUCGCUUCAGGUUACCAUCCCUACGGUGCUGCCUCGCUGCCGUUCCGCCUGGAAUCGGUGUCGGUAGGGGCUGGGAACCGUGCGGAGCCGUCUGACGCCUGCGGCUUCCACUGCGCUGCCUUCAUUCGCUUCUUCCUAGAUGGCCAAGAGACUUCCAAACCCUUGAAGAGUCUGUUCUCCUGUCACUAGUACAAACUCCAGCGUCGCAGUGGUGAUCUCCUUACCCUGCUGUUGCCGGUGCUCUGCUCUGGAGGAGCGUUCUUCUCACGACUGAUGGGCCGCUGCCGUCGGCAUAUGCCAGGUGCCCUGGUCUUCGUUGGCUCCUUCGUCAGGUCUUAACUGGGCACUUGGCCGGUGACGAGCACCCACCAGGUGUGCCAACCCCUUAUCUUCACUUCCUAUGCGAAACUGAGCACCCAAACCCUAACUUAAGCUAUUUGGCUAUUUGUAUUCGGAUCUGAUCUACAAGUGUAUACAUGUAUUAUGCCUAUUAACUUUGAUCGCUUUCAAAGAUUAUCGAGCGUACAUGUGCACACCCAUGUUCUUUAUUGGAUCCAUGCCUACGGUUCCGUGUGCUUUGAUCAGCUUUGCUCUGAAUGUUCCUAGCCCUAAAGCUCCUCAUCCUCCCCACCUUGGUGGCAUUUGGAUAGGCAGCACGAAUGGUAUUAUGAUAUGUGAUGAGAUAAAAAAACUCACCUGCUGGGGUAAGGCAGCCCUCGGGGCACGGGCAUUGCAUUAAGAAGUGCAGGUUGAAGGAACCCCCCAAACCCCUGCCCCACCCAUACACUGUGGCACCGUAGCCCAUGUGAGUACGAUCAUGACCGUGGCUGGGCCUUAGACAUGUGUUUUGGCGUGAUAUAGACAAUGAGAUUUUUUUUAACCUGAGCCUGAAAAUUUGCUUCCAUGGGGAAUCAAACCCCAAGACCUACCCUUUCACACGAUGAUGAGAUAUAAGAGCAGCUCCAGUGUGCAUUGAAACCGAACCAUGGGGAGAGAGGAGGAGUAUGGUUUGCUUUCACCACUGCAGGUAUCUAACCAAGCAAAGCGAUUAUUGUAAGCGGUUCAUCCUUUCGGUUCGAACCAAGCCAAUAAAAAGUUCAGUGAGUGGAGUUACUCGCUUACUGCCGUCCUUUGGGCAGUAGGUAUGGACAGAAAUCAGCAUGGAUGCUGCAUUCUUUACUCUUUUCUAUUCUGCUGUGGCCCUCACCAACACUGCUGCACUCACUUCCCUAAAGAGGUGGCUUUCUGGCUCGGGUGAAAGUACCCAGCGGGCAUUGCAUUGCAAGUGAAAUUUACUUAGGGUGACCGUUUUGGACAUGGAAAUGGGCCUGAACCUGUCAAUGGAGUGUCGAUGAAGGGCGAUGAUGUUCUACCUUUUCUGAAUUGCAUAACAUUGAGCAAUCAAGGCAGCUCCGAGUAUCUAAUUAGAGCUGUGACCCUCUCCCCUUCUGAAGUCUAUUUAAUCAUCCUUUUUGUUUGUGGUUCUGCCUAGUAGGAAGGUCAUUUGGAUAUGUGACAACCAGCACAGUUCCACAUACAUUAGAGCAUCUCCAAUAGUUUCCAAAACCCACUUUGAAUCUGUAUUUUUUUGGUAAGAUUGAUAAAAACUGCUCUCCAACAACUCCUUAUCUCAACCGCCAAUCUUUCUGCAUUUGGAUUCAAAAUUGCCUUGGAGUGAGAUUUUGGAAACGAUUAGGAACCCAGCAAAUAUGCUCUCAAUUUUUUCUAGCCACUUGGAAAACUCUUUGAUUUACCAAUUGUUUUUUUGGGAACUAUUGGAGAUGCUCUUAGGACGAGUAAAUUGUGCAGCAGAAGGGAGGGCUUGGUUUCUAUGAUUGAGCAAAGGUGACGCUGAGCCCUGUUUUAUCUUUCAGUCUUUGCAACUAUUCUGCACUUCAAAAUUUUCCAAUAAAGAAGGAAAAAUGCCUAUGUGCUGAGCCACUCAAGCAGCCUUUUUCUUAUAGUACAACUGUCUGAAUUGCCCUCCUCCCCUACCCACCCACACAAGCACACCCAUCCACCCACCCACAAAAAAAAAAACAAUGCAAAAACCUUUUGGCUAACUCGUGGCAGUUUUUGCCGCUGUUGCAGCUGAUGUGAGUUGUGACAGCUAACCUGUUCUUUGAACUGGUUCAAAGUUUUAUUAUAUUUUCUACUCUUGUGUGCUCUUUAUCUGGUUGUUAUUUUAUGCUAUUUUGCAUGUCCUGUUGAUGCUCUACCCUGUUCUCCAGGGGCUAUUCUUCAUUUGCCUUCCUACUGGAUUUGAACCUGGGACCUGGGUCAAUGUUCCGCUCUGUUCGCUUUGGCUGAUAAGUCAUGGCUGAAAGUACUGUUCUCUGAUUUGUUGUGAGAGAAAAACACUGCUGAAUGGCUGUCCAUCUCAUAAGUUCCUACCUGAGUGCCUCUCAAGAAUGAAGAAAUAAAAUUCCAAUGUGGGGGCAAUGAUCAACAACCAUGACUGACAUAAGCGCCUUUGAUAAUCAAGGCUGCUAUGGGUACAAAACUGGAAUCCUUGCUUUCCUCUCUUGGAGACUUUUUCAAUUAUGUUCUGAUGAUAGUGGAUUUGUCCUUGGAUGGUCAUGCCAUUCUUCAUGGGUGAUAACCAGGGCAGCUCCACUUAUCUGAUCAAGUUGAUCUAGUGAUAAGAGAUGAUGGGGAUACAGUUAAAUGAUUGAGCAAAGGCGAAGCUGAGCCCCCAACCCAUACAUACACACCCCAAAAGAAAGAGAAGAAGAUAACAUGACUUUAUUUGAUUUCCUUCAUGUUUUAGUUGAAUAUAUGUUGCUGCUUUGUGUUUUCUUGUCUAACCUACAUAUGUUCUAACUUUAUUCCUUUUGUUGCAUUUUUUUUGAUAAAGGAAGCUUUUAUUAAAACCUUGGAAGCACAUCGAGUUGAUACAAAGCCAAAGAGGACAACUUCAUUCCUUUUGUUGCAUUUGUCUAUCGAAUUCUGUUCCUUUGUAGGUUGAGAUGUUUCCUAAUUUCUGUUGAUUCUGCUAUGAUUUUUUGUAUUGGGCUUGGGUUGCAUGAUGGAUACUUUCUGUUAACUUUGUUUGUCCCAGAAUUUACUGCUGUAAUUUCAUGAGAUGUUUAGAUCAUGUACUCCUGUUGGAGCUGGGUGAGUAACUAUUGUAGCCGUGCAGAGUGUACAUUCUUUUGUUUUUUCUGUUUUUUUUAUCGCUUGUUCUGUCGAUCUUCCUUCUUGUUUGGAACUGUUCUUCAGUGACUGUAAUGAUAAAAUGCCCCAGCCCUAUAGUGCUAUUACUUUGUAGCGUCCUGAAUUGAUACCUUUGGUAUUUUGCUCAAUUUGUUGCUAAACUAGGAUGGCUGAUACCAUAACAAGUAACCAGUUUGCAACUAAUUGUUGUGAUUGCUGCAGUGGAAUUUAGUUUAAUAGUUUAAAUUCCACACCAACCCACCCCAACACACAUGGAUUGAGAUGGAUACAUGGGCAUCCAAACAAGGCCUUACAGAGGGAUGGGGGGAGAACAUGGUGCUUCUACAAGUAUUCUGUUCCACCAUACUUAUAGGUUAUGAUUGUAUUCCUUUCAUCUUAUCCUGCCUUUUCCAGUGAUUUAUACUUGGGACCAGGAUCAUGGUACUAAUGGGACCAAAAUGUCAACUUGGAUUAUAUAUUCCUAACCUGGGUAGAUUUGAUGCAUAUAUUCCUUGUUUCUUUGGUUGGGAUGCCCAAGCUUACUUGGAUGAAUUGCUCAUUUAGUCAUUUUGUUCUAAAGAAUAUUUUCUUUUCCCACAAACACAUAUUUAGCUACUAGCAUUCUUUCAACAAUAAUUUGGGCAACCAGCAAUUGCGUUAGUGGCUUGGAGGUCCCUGGGCUGCUAGUAUUGGCAUUAGUGGUCCAAAUUUGUGCACCAUGACCUUGAUGAAUCUUGAUUGAUCAAACAAAGUAGAUGCGCUAAAUUACUAUGUAUUUUGUAUUACUAUUGUGACAUGGCUGUACUUUUUUGCCAUGUGUGAAAGCUCAGACUUGUGCAGUUCACAUGGGAGCAGGCCAUUUCUUUCGGUGUGCAGCAUAGCCUGCAUUUUUAGGUCAUGGCUCGCAAUUUGGGUUGCAACUAAGGUUGUUUAGGGGUCAAUACUAUAGUUUAUUGGGGGAUAUAAUUAUUCAACCCAUGAAACAGCACAAGGGCACUCUAUCGCAACCUCUCACUCACUGACCACCGCUGCUUGUUGCUCCAACCACUGAUCCGACCACAUGAGCUCUCAAGAAGUUGUCGUUUUGCAUCCAUCUUAGGUAACCAUUACCAUCCUUCUGGCUAAGGAUGGCAACGAGAAAUAGUUUUCUCUAUGCAACUUUAGGGGAAGCCUAGUUUUCCACCGCAGGAUUGUUCUUUGAGAUUUGUGCCAUGCCCUUCUAUGCCUGACAAGCCUGAGUAGUUUCAGAUGGAUCUAUUUUUGUCUCGACAUCCACGCAAUUUUCCUCACCCCCGAGCCCACUUGACAGAAGCUCUCCAUCUCGAAGGCAGAGCAGGAGCAGCACUAUAGUGCAGCUGCCCGGCCGUGACUAGCAAACCUCCUUGACUUCAUCCCGAAGGAGGAACAGGUAACUAGCAAACCACCUUGCACAGCCGAGCAGGUAACUUCUGUUUUUUUGUAAUAUCAUUAUAAACUUACCUUGCUGGAUUGUUCCUUGCAAUUUAGAUGGUAUGAUGUAUAUUUAGGAUUGGAAAUCAAGAUGUUCUAAAUCUCAUAUAUGCAAGCUGUAUCUUUAUACUGUACCAGUAAAAAAACUUCUUGGCGAUUGGCGAUGGUCCUUUGGGUAGAAGUUUGGUCAAUAUGUAAUAGAAAUGACUGUUUUCGCCAGGAAAUGGUUUUCAAUGUGUGGACCCAAUAGCCAACCAUCAGGACUGAUGGGAGCCCUUGAGAGGGCAUUCUGCAAUGUGCCUACAAGACCAAAUGUAUAGACACACACCAUCAUGCUUGAUGGCGUUGUAUUGAUUCUUGAAGUAUCAACAGUUCAGUAUGCUCCAAACUGUUAAGAUUCAAAUUUACCUGACCAUACUAGAUCAUGAAUCGCCAAAAAGAGUCAUGUCUCGAGAUAGUGGCAGCAACAAGUGCAACACAGAUUUGCUUCAGUAAGAACCAAGAAGCAUACUGAAGCUCUGCCUGUUUAAGCCCUGUUCAUAUGGUAAAGUUCAGUUCUGGGGACGACCUUCCUGUUAAUGAGCUGCAAUUGAAUUGUACCAAAUGAAUCACGAAUAUAACACUGGAUGCAACAUCACUUAAUAAAUUUUAGAGUUAUUUGGUCUAUCAUUGUAAAAUGUUUUGUUAGUGGACCAGCUUCAGCUUUCCCUGAGUUUUUCUGCUUUGAACUUGUAUUACCAUGCAAACAUUACAUGGAGAUAACAAUCCCUCAUUUGAAGUUAGGGGUUCUUUCCCCACAAUUACAAGCUU